rnacentral:rRNA from 1 species
GACGGAAGGUGCAAGCGUUGCUCGGAAUCACUGGGCGUAAAGGGUGCGUAGGCGGCUUGGUGGGUCUGGUGUGAAAGCCCCGGGCUCAGCCCGGGAAGGGCACUAGAAACUGCCGAGCUGGAGUGCCGGAGGGGAGAGUGGAAUUCCUGGUGUAGCGGUGAAAUGCGCAGAUAUCAGGAGGAACACCGGUGGCGAAGGCGGAUCUCUGGGCCUUACCUGACGCUGAGGCGCGAAAGCUAGGGGAGCGAACAG